rnacentral:rRNA from 1 species
GUAGUCUCGCACAGAUGCAUAUCAAUAAGCGGAGGAAAAGAAACUAACAAGGAUUCCCCUAGUAACGGCGAGUGAAGCGGGAAGAGCUCAAAUUUAGAAAUCUUAAAGGGUUUCCCUUUACGAAUUGUAGUUUAAAGAAGUGUUUUCUGUUGAGGUUUUGGUAAAAGUUCUUUGGAAUAGGACAUCAUAGAGGGUGAGAAUCCCGUAUUUGACCUUUACUUUCAACUUUGUGAUACACUUUCAAAGAGUCGGAUUGUUUGGGAAUGCAGUCCAAAAUGGGUGGUAAAUUUCAUCUAAAGCUAAAUAUUGGCGAGAGACCGAUAGCGAACAAGUACCGCUGAGGGAAAGAUGAAAAGAACUUUGAAAAGAGAGUUAAACAGUACGUGAAAUUGUCAAAAGGGAAGCGUUUGGACACCAGUGUUGUUUUUCUGAAAAUCAAUUAAAGAACUGUUUAUGCUAAGCUGUUUAGACUUUAUCAGCUAUCUGUUUAGUUUUGAGCUUUUCUUUAAUGCACUUUUCAGUUAACAAGUCAACAUCAAUUUCUUUUGCUGUAAAAAAGCUUGAGGAAGGUGGCUUGAGAUUCGUCUUAAGUGUUUAUAGCCUCUUGCCUAUGCAGUCGGAGAGAUUGAGGUCUGCAGCGUAGAUCCUUCGGGGCUAAAUGCAUUUGUGCUAAGUUAUAGCAUUUUAUAGACAACUUGUUGACUAUGAUUUGUCUUGUAGCUUACUCGCUUAUGUUAUUUUACCUACGCUUAGGAUGUUGACGCAUGAGAUAUACGC